rnacentral:rRNA from 4 species
AUGCCGCGGUGAAUACGUUCCCGGGUCUUGUACACACCGCCCGUCACACCACGAGAGUUUACAACACCCGAAGUCGGUGGGGUAACCCGCAAGGGAGCCAGCCGCCGAAGGUGGGGUAGAUGAUUGGGGUGAAGUCGUAACAAGGUAGCCGUAUCGGAAGGUGCGGCUGGAUCACCUCCUUUCU